rnacentral:rRNA from 1 species
ACCGGCGGCUCGAGUGGUGGCCACUAUUACUGGGCUUAAAGCGUUCGUAGCUGGCUUGUUAAGUCUCUGGGGAAAUCUUCCGGCUCAACCGGAAGGCGUCUCAGGGAUACUGGCAGGCUAGGGACCGGAAGAGGGGAGAGGUACUCCAGGACGGCGGGGCACAAGGUGGGAUCCGUGAGGGACGAGCGGAAGCGGGGGCGUCACACCUGGUUAGCUCCGGCAGUCAGGCGGGGAACUGAGGAAAUAAAGGAG